ensembl:snoRNA U3 Small nucleolar RNA U3
AAGAUCAUACUUUCAGGGAUCAUUUCUAUAGUCUUUGACUUGAGAAAUAUCGCCCCAUUUGCAAAGUGAUCUGGUUACUCUAACCAGAUGAAGAGAACUGAUGUUCCCUUCUGAGCUCUGGGAAGCGAGGCAGUGAGUGAUGAUGCAUUUCAUCCGCUCCUUGUCAUUGAUGACCGUUCCAUGCUCUCUAGUGGAGCCUGGAGGUAGGGAACAUGAUCAGAGUGGU